rnacentral:rRNA from 1 species
UGGGGAAUAUUGGACAAUGGGCGCAAGCCUGAUCCAGCCAUGCCGCGUGAGUGAUGAAGGCCCUAGGGUUGUUAAGCUCUUUCACCGGUGAAGAUAAUGACGGUAACUGGCGAAGAAGUACCGGCUAACUUCGUGCCAGCAGCCGCGGUAAUACGAAGGGGGCUAGCGUUGUUCGGAUUUACUGGGCGUAAAGCGCACGUAGGCGGACUUUUAAGUCAGGGGUGAAAUCCCGGGGCUCAACCCCGGAACUGCCUUUGAUAAUGGAUGUCUUGAGUAUGGUGGAGAUGAGUGGAAUUCCGGGUGUGGAGGUGAAAUACGAGGAUAAUCGGAGGAAUACCAGUGGCGAAGGCGGCUCACUGGACCAUUACUGACGCUGAGGUGCGAAAGCGUGGGGAGCAAACAGG